rnacentral:lncRNA from 1 species
ACCACAGGAAAAGAGAGAAAGAGAAAUUAGCAGGUGCCCGAUGUGCAACUCACCGCCGAAACCACUGGAGCUGUGCUUGGCUGAUCCAGCCAGAGAUGGCGGUGGAG